UUGCUGAAGGUUCAGAUACUAAAUAAUGAAUUUCACCACCAAAAACACAACAACUUCUCCAAUCAUAAAAUAGCUCUCCCCUUCCAUAUUGAUUGUGCUUGUGCAACCAGAUGCAGAGAGCACAGUCUGCAUCCGUGCAAGGUGGAAGACCAUACAUGGGGAAAUUGUAUAAAAUGAUAGGGAGCCACCUGCUUUUUCUCGCUGUAGAUAUGGAUAGAGCCGGUGGUGCCUAUGGGCACACACGCUUCCUCUGCGCUUCUCUCUCCGCUUCGCUGAAGCACGAAGAGCAGAGUCUGUCUGAGGGAGGCGGAGGAGAGGAGGAAAAAAAAAUCUGAAAACUUUCCUUCACGGGACAUUCAAACGGACAGAGGGUUCGGGAAGAGGAGGGAGGGGACAGAAGAGUGGUCUUGGAAACUGCUUCAGUGCACUAAUGUCCCUGCAACCUGAGCCUUUAUUGGAUCCGAAGGGCAUUACAAGACAGGCGCGCUCCACACCCUCUGGUUUAGAGACGGGGAUUAAAGGGAUGGCUUUCAUUCAGGAAAGGAGAAGCGAAAAAAGCCUCCAAGCAGAUCCCACUCCGGCUCAGACCUUCUCCCCGCGUGCCGGUCCCCUCGUCUCUCGCUGCCGGGCCGAUGGACCAGCCCCUCCGACGGAGCGGGCGCCUGGGCAGUUCCCCCCGGCAGCCAUGCGUCUCAAUGUGAGGGAGUCUGCCACUGCAAGCUGCCUCGCGGCCUCCGACGUUUGCGGGGGGGGAAAAGAGAGGAUGUGAUCAACUUUUCCUGUUCUACAGCCGGAUCCCAGCUCCGGGGUCUCGACCCUCUGGAAAAAAAAAGAAGCACUCAAGGGUUCAAGUAACCAGCAGAUUGGACAAAGCCGGCCGAGACGCGCAUUCCUGCACUUGAGACGUUAUUUAUUUCACAGGCCCAUCCACCUCUCAUUGUAUGCAGGGAACACAGCAACCUCUCCUGGACAAACGGGAAAGUGGCAGACAAGUUGCCAUGAAGCCAGCAUAAUGGAAAUGAAUCCUGCAUUCCACGUGUCUCGGCCCCCAUCAACGCAGCUGAGAAAUGGGAACUCAUGCACAAACCUGCCCUUCAUUUUCAACAGAAAAUUGCAGCAUUAUUAAAACACGCAUAUAAUUUAGAACAUGUGAGCGUGACAAGAUGAUGUUCAUGCAGGAAAAAUUGUCAUACACUGAUAUGAGACAAUGACAGCGAUGUUAGUGCAUCAUGAAAUAAAAUCAAUAUGACAAAGUAAAGCCAAACAACCAAACAACUUAGGGUUGCACAAAUAACACACUUGAACACUGGGAUGUAAAAGAAUAAUUUUGUCUCCUCUAGAAAACAUAUGAAGAAAUGCCAGUUAUGAAAAAUGUCAUCUUUAAAAGGCAAAUCUAAAUGUCAGAGAGACGGAUACUUUACACAUAGAAAGUGCUGCCUUCUGGGUGUUAGGAAAGAAAGGCGUUAGAAUGAUAUUUUUUUUCCCAGUUGAAAUUGACUGCAAUUACCCGGCAUCAAGCACACAAAGCAGUUGUACACUCACAUAGCCUGGAGAGGAGUGGAGUCACUGUUCUCAAUAUUACUCAGGAAUUCAGAGGGGCAUAGAAUAAUGAAAGCUACGGAUGUGUUUUAAUGUAUGUUGGGAAAAUAGAGUCUUUUUGUAAUAUGCAUUUGAUUAAAUAUGAGGAACUAAGUCUCAGACACAAAGGUGAGACAAUUAGUUUAUUAUUUGACUUAAUCAACAGAAAAUAAACUACUAUUUUUAUAAUUGAUAAAUUAAUAGUUCCAUUACACGGUGUAAUAAAUUAAAAGAAAAGAAAUAUGAAUUUAUGUCAGUGUAGUGACCUGUGAACAUUCCUUUGAAUAAAAAAAAACAUGUUAACACUUUACUUUAAAGAACUUUACAUUUAAGAUGUUCCACUGAGCAUGAAGUUUGCUGUGUGUGUUUAUAUGUGGACCAUCUUUAUGUUACUACGCAUGAUAUUUUUGUGAACUUCUCAAUUUAAUUGUGCAUGGGUAAGAGAUGGGAAACCCCCAGAAAAACCGAGGUAAAGCAACGAGGAGCAUCAAGCCCCGUUAAGGUCUAAGUUUCGUGUGCUGGCAAAUGUCAGACUCAUGACAAAGCCCAGCAAGAAUAAAGCCUUCCUGGGUCCUCAGUUUGUUUUGAAGUUUGUGACAAAAUCAUCUCAGUGGGGGAUAUGAGAAGAGGUGAAAGUGGGUGGUUCAAUCCCAUUUCAAGUCCCAGGAAGGAGACAAGUGGAGAAAAUGUAGGUUCUAGGAGAGAUGAAGAUAGGACGAGAAGAGGUAAAGACGAGGGAAAGGGAGGUAAAAGUGACUUGACCCUUCUAAUCCGGUGAAGGUCAUGAGUCAGAUUAGGGAUGGCUACUCUGAACUCCAUGGCUGGAAGGCACCUUCGACCCACGGAGUAUUUAGGUAUCUCUUAAACCCAACGGAGAACCACCGGGCUCUUCUCUUAGCAUGCAAAUGAGACAGGAACAAAUGUCCCGUCACUUCUGGGUCACCAUGUGCCAAAGUGCUUAACACUCUUCCUGUCAGCCCCCCUCUCCAGCUGCUUCAAAAACCUCCUGCACCUCCCUCACGCUUAUUUCCUCCCUCUUAUGUUCUUUAAAUGAGCUUUCCAACUCCACUUCUUUCUCGCAAUUCAAUUUUACAAGGCCAUUAUCCCGGGUGUAAUGUGGAGGUUAAAUAUAUCAGGGCAGACGUUAUGUGGAAAUAAUUAGUGCUAAUGAAUAAUGCACUCAUUCAGUAGAUGACGGAUGGUUGCCAAGGUAAUGGAGUGCAAGGGAGGGGCCCCUCUGACAAUGAAAUUAAAAUAUUUAAGCACUGUUUUACGGUAUUACCGGGCCCUCACACUUUCUCCCUGUCACAAAAUCACUACAUGCUGCCGUCCGGCCUCCAUGUGACAUGAUAGCUGUGCCGUUACUCAUGCACGAGAUUUGUCUUACUAAAGAUAGAGCUCAGAUAAAAGGAGGAACAUACUUCUACCGUACGCCACGGCUCAUCCUCCCUGCCACCAAUAAUUCCUCUGAGGGCAUCACAGACGACACUCCAUAUAGACAGCCUGUCUUUCCGCCAGGUUGUAUUUCGUUCACUUUAUUUAUUGCCACUUCACACAUCCGUUCUCUUACGAUCUCAUUCGGCCCCCUUCAUGGAAUAAUGAAGGAUGUAGGUUUUAAAUUGCCCAUCUUACAGCCCCCUUCCAACCAAUUGGCCCUUCCGGAAUCGAUAAUGGUGAACCAAAGGGCUGUGUGACUGAUAGAUGGUAAAGCGUCAACACCAUUAGACACAACGGUUAGAGGACGGGGAGGAAAGUAAUGGCUUGGGACAGAAUGCUCAUGAGCUAAUAAUGCUCAGUCGUUCAUUCGCCAAACUUUCUAUACAGGUAAAUGACACCUUUUUCUCUAAAAACCAUUGACUUUCCCUGACUUUCAUUGUACAUCAGUGCUUUUGAUCUUUUGCCCAGGCGUUGGGAUAAUUAGGAUUUCUGCCACCAGUCCAAUGCAAUAGAAGUCAAUGGUGUUUUAAUUGUCCUUCUCACAGCGCUAAAGAUUGUCUUUGAACAAGACUAAAAGUCUUGAGACACACUUGCUCUGUGGGCCUGUAGCUUGAGCUCAAUGCUAAUGCUAACUCACGUGCUCCCCGACGCUAAAGCAAGAUCUAACUGUUGCAGGUAUUGAUGAAGCUCUUAAGGAUCACCAAACAUGUGACUAUUGAUCUUGGGAAAAAUAUGGAUCAAACGUGAUGGUGAUCCGCCCAAUGGUUGCUAUUGAUAUUAAAGUAUGGGCCCAAGUGGUGGACCAGCCAACAGGCCAACAUGCCCUUACUUCUAGCAUGGAUGUAAACUGUGUAUUAUUCAAAGUAUCUUUGUAAUGAAAUUACAUUUUUCCAACGUCACAGGUGAAGGAAGCAGGGAGAAAGCUCAAUACCUGUGCAACAGAAACCCAAAUGAUAAACACUGGUAGAUUCCCCUAAAAAAUGUUUUUGUUAACUGGCGCUUAAAAAGAAAUUAACCGUGAGAAAAAGGACAGCGUGGUCAAUAUGAUCCUGUUGAAUCUAAAAGGGAGAAGUAACAAUUCUUAAUGACAAAAUGGCAACUUCCAUUGCAGAUUGUUAUAAAUCGUGCUGGUCUUUAAAUCAGGGCCGGGUGUUCAAUGGACAAUGGGUAGCUGUGAUGAAAAAAAGGGCUGUAAAUAUGCAGAAUAGUGUGCUGCUCUCUCCCUGGGGCUAAGCCAACGCACCAUAGCAAGCCACAUCUGACAACUUUCCUUUAUUAAUAUCAUAUUUUUUAGAUGUUUCUGGCCCCAUACACAUUUGACUUGUAAAACAGACCUAAUUACAAAGGCUGUAGCAUGCAAGCCUCACAUCAAACAGUAAGUUAGAGUAAAAGCCUGUGAUCUGUCUUUUUUUCUCCCUUUUCUCCCUCCGCACACCAGAAACACUGAUUAUAACAAGAACAUUAAAAGGGAAUUACAGCGAAAACAAUUUACACUUAAUGUAGCAGUCAUAUGAACAGGCAAGAAGGAUGGACAAAGAUAUAGCAGCAUUAAUAAUACAUGAUUUAAUUUAGCAGCUGGGAAUGCAUGUAGCGGAAUCAAGGCGGAGGGAAAGACGGACAAUGAAGAAAAAGUGUCAGAGAAGGACAAAGUAGUGAGAGAAAAAAAGCAGAAGGAGAAGAAGUCAGAUGAGAGCUCCAAUGAGAGAGAAAGUUUAUAACAGAGUCGAGGUUAAAGGUUGCAGAGGAGGUGAGAUCAAAAUAUGUUGCUAUGGAUUUUCUACGCACAGUGAUUAAUUGGCAGUAAAUAUGCAAAGCCUGAUAGCCAUGAGGCAAUCAGAGGAGCGCCACUCGCCUACAUGUUGCACAGUGGGCCAUAAUCCAUCGGAGGGGCGAGGAAUAAUGACAGCAGCAAGCUAGAAUAAGAGCAGGAUCUGUUCAUUACCUCAGACGGAUGCAUAAUGCAUGAAAGGUACGCGCCAGCCCGUGGCCACAGAACCUGGAAAGUACAGAUAGUAAUAUUGUUUUUAGUGUAAUGAAAGACAAUGAGAUUUAAGCAUCUAUUCAGGCUUAUAAGUCUGCUGUCAGAUAAAGUUUAAAGGUAGGUGCAAAAGCCAUAACUGACCUGAGAGUGACACGAGUCCUUAAAGGCAACAGAAAGGUCAACACAUGCAUAUUGCGAUAUAUGUAUUAUAAUGUAUUUUUGCAUAGUGUAAAGUGAAUCAUAAUGUUAAAAUUUGGUCUCAAUAUACACAUGAAAACCACUGACUAACAUUACCUAUAAACCUGUAUAGAUAAAACCUGCCACUGGCUAUACAACUGUAAUUCCACUUCUUGGUGCAAUGUUGUUAUUUUCCGAGGCACACAUAAACAUAUGAACACUAAUAAACACAAAUACCUGGCUUUCUUUCUCCUCCAUGAGGACAUUAACACCAGGAUCUUUGUAGUGCUAGAGUAAGUAUAAAUUGUGUUGAACAUUGAUAAACUAAUGCAAUUACCUGCAGGGCAAGCAAGUCAGCUAAUUUAAAGAUACCAGGUUUGUUCAUGUGGUGGGAGACUCCCAAUAGGCCCCAAGGGUGAAGGAUGGCACCUUUAUUACAUCUGAGAGGUCAGCCUGGUAGCACUGUAUUAGGAUUGAUCUUUUGAUCCCCUGCCUGGAACCCCCCCAUACUGUACCAACCCCAUCUGGCUGUGAAAAAACAGCUUAUCUGGCGCAAAGGGUUAACCCUGCUAGCCAGGCAGCCUAAUUGAGCACCACACAUCUCAGCUACACAGCAGAAACAGGAACCUAGAGGGUCGUAACAAGCCGGCCAUGACUUAUUCACAUAAUAAACCAAGCAGAUAUCUAAAUGAGCCAUUGAGCUAGCCAGAGGGAGGGGGCCCAUUAGACCUUGUGGACUACGGGUACAUAUUUGUAUAUCUACAAUUGCCCCAUCAUUUGCAUAUGCGGCUCACAAUAGAAAUGUUAGUCUGUGUUUGUGCCCAGGGGCCUAAUGACACAACAGAACAACUUUGCACUCAUUCAUGGUGGCAUAAACAAGUCAGAGCCGUAUUCCUUUAAUCCAAAACACAAAAAAGCUUAUAUUGCGGGUUAUAUUGAAAAGCAAGCAGGCUGACAUUUAUUCACUUGAGGGAAAACCUUUUAGAUACAGUACGAUCAGUAAAUGUGAGCAAAAUAGUUUAACAUUUUGGGAAAUAUACUUUAUUUCUUGCAAUAGUGUUGGGUCUGACCUAUUCACCAAACUACAUUUUCUUUUAGUUCUUCUAAUGAUGCAGAUUGUGCUGUAGAAUGCCAAAUGCUUUUGGGCGUAACAAAGCUCUGCUAUUGCCCUGGGAAUGAUGACAUUUUGACCUAUUAAUACAUAAUAAAUGCAUAGAAAUAAAGAAAAAAAAAUAUAUGUAUAUAUUGUUAAAAAAUACAUAAUGGAUAAAGGUGCAUGUUGUAAAUACAUAUGUUCUUAUAUUGACACACAAAUGUAUCAAUAAAUAUCCAAAAUUAAAGGGACAAUAUAAAAACCCUGAGCUGUGCAAAACCAGAAUAUAAACCAACAGAAGCUUGGUAUUAUAGGAUGCUUUGGAUGCUGGAAAUUCCCUUGCAGGGAAAAAAAUAGAAUCACUCAUCCAGCUAUUGUGCGCCUGUAUUUGUAUGUUGCAAAAAACAUAACACAAGGUUGUCACUAAUCAAAACAGUCUUGUGGCAAUUGGUCACAGGUCAGCCUUUAAUGUGACCUCUGACCCAUAACUAAAUUGCCAUCUUUAACCUCUGUUACAACCUGUCACAGAGCAUUGGAUUACAUGCUGCAAAUCACCACCAAUCAAUGCCGGGGGAAGAGCCGGCUGUGUCCAGCAGGGUGUGCAGAUUAUCUUUAGUGGAGUUGAACUGUACGGGGAUCAAGUUAGUGUAAAUCCUGAUUAGAUUCUGAAUGGUUUCCUGCUAUUGCUCGACACACUCAACUAAAAAGAGUAAAGGAGACUGCAGAUAAGAGUCACAUGCCUCGUUCCACUUUAGCAAUUAGUUGUGUGAAUGUAAAUAUAAUUGUUGCAAGGACACCUUUGAUGAUGAUGGCCAUACAAAUAAAUGCAUACAGUAAGCGCUCUGAACUCGUCGUCUUCUUCAACUGUAUGUCCACUGACAUUACGACAGCAGAAGGUUAAAACAUCUCCUGUUGCAGACUAAAACUAUUCUAACUGCACCCUGGCUAAUUUAUUUUUAAAAAUGUAGUGAAUGAUGAAUUUAGUGUAUUGAAUGAUUUAUCUUGGGGUUUUAUAUAUAUUAAUGGAAGUAAUCUUGGAUAUGAAUGUCAGCUGUUAAUUUAAUGUUAUAGUACUUGAUUUCUUAAAAAUAUGCUUGAGAGAUUUUGGGUUAUGGUUGGGUUACAUCACAAAUUCUGCCCAACAAUUCCAAUAAAUACAUUGUCCUGUC